rnacentral:siRNA from 1 species
CGAGGAAUUCCUAGUAAGCGC